CCCACUUAUCCUCUUCCCAGAAGUUACUCCCUAACAAACUUCCCUCUCUCUCAUUCUCUUAGUUUAGGUCAGUCCGCGUAAAUAGAUUCAUCAAAUUCCCUCUCAGACAGAAACGCCAUUCGACCAUCUGCAAGGCUUUCAAUCUAUUUGCCUCAUCUCAAUACUGUGAAGGAGGAAUGGUCGUUGGGAGAGAACAGCUUGAUGGAUUAUGGACUUACAAGAUGGUAAUCAAUGUCUUGUUUUGAAAGUUAUACUCGAAAUUGAGGUGACAGUGCUAAGCAAUGCAACUAAGAUGCUAGUUCUCCUUGUUUUGAAAGCUCAUGCACGCUCUUGCCUCGAUUGCUUGAUCUAGGUCUCAUCUUAAGUGAUGAAAGUGCCAUGGACAAGUAUAAAAAUACUUAGCAAGUAGCUUGCUUGUAGUUUCUUAGUUCGCUCUUAAGUCUUAUCUCAUUGAUUUGUUCGUUCGUUUGAUGUCUCAUUUAUACUCAGAAGCCCAAUCCUAAGUUAAAGACUUAACUAGACUUUUCCUUAGGUUUACUUAGUUCACCUGAGCUCAAUUUAAGGUCAUGUUGUGAAACUCAUUAAAUUCUCUUUUUCUUAGCCCUAUAUGGGUCGACAGUUCUCUUAGUUCAUUCUUGGAGUUCUAAAAUAUCUUGUUUAGUCAUUCUACUAGUCCCGGUAAUCAUGAUCAUCAACCUAUAUAACACAAGCACUCAACAUGCAACCCUAUAAUAGGCUUCAACCUAGCCUAUAGUUUUCAUUA